AUGUGUAAAAGAAACGGACCUUUAUUGCCGAAUCCGAAUUUUAAAGCUUUGCAACUCAAAAGACGGACCAAACACCAGCGACCACGAUCGAAAACCAGUGACGGCGAACUCAACGACUCAACCUUGGAAAUGCGAUUUUUUUGUGCAAAAAGGGACUGUUUGGUGUUGAUUUUCAGCCAAGUUUUGGCUGGUUUUCGAGCUAUUUCGCAGCUUCCUUUGGCCAGAUUUUUCAGCAGAUUCGAAGCUGAUUUUGCUGCUAUCUAACGCUGGAUUUUGGGUGGUGUUUUGCAGCUCUGUUUGCUGCGUUUUCUAGCUGAUUUCAGUAGAUUUUAGCUUGUUCUUGGGCGCUGUUUCAAGGUCUGUUUGAAGGCUGGUUUUUGGCUGAUUUCAUUUAGAAAUAGAGCUGCUCUUAGAGGUCAUUGUUGGACUGUAUUGGGGUGAUUUUAAGCUACAAUUUGGACUGGUUUUACAGCCAAACUGCUGCUGCAUUUUUGCACAUGUUGCAGCUGAUUUUCAAUUGAUUAAAGGAGCUUUAAGGACUGAUUUUCAUGGCUGAAAAAAUGGGCUCUUUGGAGGGUGUUUGAGGGUAGUUUAAUGAAGGUAU
rnacentral:lncRNA from 1 species